UGUGCCUGGGCUCACCUGGGCAGGGUGAUCACCCUGGUGGUGUCUUUCAGAAUGCUUUUGCAGCAGAGCUGGAAACCAAAACCUCAAGUGAAUUAUGCCUAAGAGAGUCUCCACAGGCAGGGAGCAAUGGAAACUUUGGAGAGAAUCAAAGGCUGCAGGAAUUCAAAGGUGUUUAAAGGACAGGGAGCUCUUGAUCUGAGCCACGAUCCUGAAUCCAUUUUCCCAAUGCCAAGUUGAGGAAACCAUUGAAGAUGUCACUCAAAGAACCAACAUGAUGAAGGUUGUCAAGAAUUAUUACCACAGGAAGGUCAGCACUACUGUUAUCAGCACUGCAUUGUUCAGCCAAAUUGGCAAGGUAUUGUUGCACAUCCUUAAAGAAAAGAAGGAAGAACCCAGUAAAACAAAAGGUGCUCAACUAACACCCUCACAGUUGCGAAGCUUCCACUAAAACGAAUUGUUGCUUAAACCAUUUUUGACAAUGUCAGCCUGAGGUACUUGCUCUGAGCAUUCUUCUCUUUUUUCCUUUUUUAAAAAUUGGUUUUCAGUAACAGGAUCCUAGUUAAGUCUAACCAUCUGAACCACAAGGGAGGAAACCUUACAAGACGUAUCACACCUAAGAGAGUUGGUUUCUGCUUGCCCCACCCUGACCUCUGUUCAUGCAGAAGAAGGUGUAAAAGGAGCUUCAUGCAGGGUUUCUGAGUGGAAGUGUCCCACACAUAGAGUUGUAUGUGUGUAGAACCCCCUUUUACAUACUUUGCUGAACAUGUGGUGGCUAGAGAUGGCCCAAGUUGGCGGAUUCCAAUUUCACCUUCCAUAAUACAACUGAAUGAGCAAUGGAAUUACUCAUUCACUUUCUAGGUAAGAUGGAAGAAUUUCUUCAAUCAAAGUAAUUCAUUUUCUCUAAAAAGCUGCAGGUUGUGAAUUAGGUGGGGCAUCAAAUACACAAUGUACGAGUGUGUUGGUUAAAUUUUUGAAGACAGAUUUUUUUUCAUGUACAUCAACACUGGCACAAUCUUUGUAACAUGACAGAAAGCAUGUAAAUGGUGGGAUGAUAAGCUUGAUAUUGCAAGUUUCUGACUGUGUCAUUUUUGAUCCACUGUGAAUACUGAAAAAUUUACAUAUUCUGAAUGGUUUUGAAUAAAUGUUGUUUUUAAAAAGAAAAAGAAAAAAGCAGAGAUUGGAGAUUUAACUUUCAAUAUGCUAACUGAUGCUGAUAAAACACCUUGAUUUAUUUGUAAGUAUUUGCAAUCACAAAUGGCUACUGUAUUUAGACUAUGCUGGGAAAUCCUAAAUAAAAAUAAAAAGAACAAAAGGAAACACCAGCAAUUACAUAAGUCCAUGGCAUGUAAUGAAACAUCUGCAGUUUCUUAAAAACUGUACAGUUGAUAGCUGUUGGUUCUUUUUAUGUCUUACCUUGCUUGAUUUGUGAUCUACAUUAAAAGUAGCAAUGGCAUCUUC